AAACUUACCUGAUCAGCAAGGUCUUGACCCCAGGUGGAGGCUCAGCAUCGCACUCCGUUGUGUUGAAGCCUGCGACGGACUCCAAUCGGGUCCGCUCGGGUGCAUAGUUUUUGCCAGUGGGGAGCCUUUGGACGUUCCUCU
rnacentral:snRNA from 9 species